ACCACCACCAACACCACCGCCGCCGCCGCCGCCGCCGCCACCACCAGCAGCAGCAGCAGCGCCGACCCCCUCUUCUGCCCCCCGCCCCCACCCCCAGGCUGGGCUCAAGAGGAGAGCAUUAGGAGGCGACUGCCUAACUGCCUCUGUAUCUAGGCUGCUCGGAGAGGGUGCAUGGCAGCUGGGAAAGCUCGCCUUCUGCCUCUUCUGUCAAAGGCUCCCGUCUGUCGCUCGCUCUUCCUCUCUCCUCCCUUCUCAUUGAUUCACUGGGGCUCGGCUCCCGGCUCUCGGCUCGCUCACAUCCCCGGCUAAGAAACACCCUGGGUGAGGAAGCUAACAUGCAAGCCUGCCCCUAGAGACAGGCUGAUUCAGAGGACAGUGGGCUCUCCGGCCUCCCUGCCUUCCCUCUCCUCUCCAGAUCCUGCCUGAAAAUAAGACGCUACGAUGAGCAUCACGCAGCAGCUAAAAAACACUAAGAGCGAGCAGCGCAGCCAGGCAGUUGUGCACAUGCUUGGCUGGUCACAUGGCACGGUUCUGUACUGCACCGCAGUUCCUUGGUAACAGAACAGUUAAAAUGCAAAUGUGCUCUCUUCAAGGCUGAGAGGAGUGUGUGUUCCUUCAAUACACACACAACGCAGGUGCCACUUUCAGAGCUAUUAAUUACCAGCCCCGUUAUGUACAUUGUCCUUUUCUUUCCUCCUGGAUCAAACCCUUCUUCCUCUUUCUCCUCUACCCCAACCUCAUCCUGCUCCCCCUCCCAAACACCCUCCUUGAUCUCCAAAGCUCAGCAUCGCCCCUCCAUAUUAUCUUCCCUACGCUGUAUUCUGUUUGGAAAUGUACACUGCGUCCCUGUCAGCUCCUGCGCGCGUAGAAAAAAAAAACUGACAGGAAAGAAAAGGCUAACUGUGCCACAGAAGAAACGUCCUUGAAAUCUAGAAAAAACAACAAAGAAGUGAAACCCUGAAUGGGCUGUAAAGCUCAGUGGCAUCCCAGCUGGGACGUGGGACGAGGGACGAGGAUCGUCACCCUGGUGGAGUGGGAUGGACUCUGGAUCGAUUACUGAUCUGCAACUAGACUACUACUUCCCUUCCCUGAGGCACCCGGACAGAGCGAGCUUCUCAAAUCCACAAGAGAAAGGAAAAUAAAACAUUUCCUACCAAAGGAGACAGCACAAAAAAACCAAGCACUACUAUUUAAAAAAAAAACUUUUACUGAAAGGCUGAAACAAGCCCCCCUUCCCCCAGAGAAUAACUUUGCAAAAAAAUGUCUAGAGAAACUAGUAUCAUCUGAUUAAUCGAACCAUGCUCCAAAGAAAGCAGCAGUUUUAGAAUCAUUGCCUUCUGCAUCACGGUGUGAUGACAACAGCAGCACAGCUCCGGGGAUCUGCGCCAGGUGUGAGGAAGAGUACGGCUCAUCACUCUGCAUGGUUCAGACCACCUGGAAGCCCUCAGUUAGCAGACGCCUGAUGUUUGCAGGAACUGUGCACAGUGACGCAUAUACUCCCUGACCAAACACCCGCCUGAUCUUAACCUUCCUGUAUGACUGCACUGCGAGGCAAGGGUAAAAGAUCAGAUGAACGAAUUAGGCCUUGGUGUCUCAACCAAUUAAAAGUUGCGAAGGAUGAAGAGAUGCCCCGUGAACAAAUUAAAUAGGACAUAAUCUUCAGUGAUGCUUCCUGAGCUGAUUAAAAAGAGCAGCAGGCUUAAAUGGGGCCUCAUGUCCAAUCAGCCACAAGCCUGGUUCUGCCUGCUCAGCACUCCCCUCCUCUGCACAGAGCACUCUGGGAUCAUGACCGCCAGGAUUUAGAAAAGGGCUGACAUGAGGCUGCACCGCAGCAACAGAAAAAGAUCAUUUCUAAGGAGCGCAGCAGCGCAACGCACCGACUGUGGCACGGCACAGUAAUGGGACACAUUUGCACUCGCCACUGAGUCACAAGUGUUAUUUACAGAAUCGAGAACGACAGGCUACAGCCUGCGCUGAGCAGCUGAGCUGCAUUCAAGGACAAUCCUGAGCAGCAAGAGACAGGAGGAGAGGGGCUAGACCGGACUCUGUCAUCACCGACCUGAACUGACAAUGUCUAAGAGUGCAUAAGAGCUUAAAUACUAUACACCAUCACAUGAAGUUUCAUGUUAUUUUUAAAUUACCCUCCGCCUUGAAGGAAAAACCACCUAGCAGCUAUUUAAGACCUGCAGAAAAGGGGUUGACCCUUGCGGUGGACUGGCGUUCCACCCAGGGUACCCCUGCCUAACGCCAUUGCUGGCCGGGAAAGGUUCCGGCUCCCCCUGAAUGGGAUUAAGUUGUUGAAAAAAUGGCCAGAUGUCCUUGAAAUCUGGAUGGAAAAAGGUUAACAAGUCCAAACCAGCCAUAACUGGUCGAACUGAACCCUCUCCCAUCAAGUUCAGACUGAUAGUUUGAAGGCAUCUUGAAAGCCUGGAAGAACACAAGAACGGUUACAAAGGUCAUUCGGCCCAUCCAGCCCAUUUGGUAGUUAGCAGCCAAUGUGCACCACACUCCCACACCCCUUUGUGUAAAUAAGUGCCUCAUGUCAUUGGUAUUAAAUGCACUGCCAGGUACACACAAGACAGCAGUCUCAACGCAUGGACCUGGGGAUGCUUCUUGACGCUGAUGCUCAACUCAACAUAAGAGGCUUCAGCAAAGCUACAGGAGAAAAGCUAACAUUUACACCCGACAGCCAGCGGGUAGCAGUAGUCAUCGGGGGAACUCAAGACAGUUCCAGUGUUGAGUUCUAUUUUGGUUAAUGUCCUCUGUAUCAAGCUGAACACGAGUUUCAGCGAGCCUCCUUGCAGAUCCAGUAAAUCUGGCCCAGGCAGGACAGCCAGCUAAUGUGACGAGCAGCUCGCGAGCAAGGUGGCGCCCCUGGCCGAUCUCCCGACUCGCGUGGUGACGUCUCCGGUGUGCGCCGCGGGCGAGCGCCCUGGGAAACGCCACCCCCCCUGCUUGCCGUCUGCUGGUGGCAGGGAGAGGCUGGGCAGUGGGCAUCUUUCCCAAGCUUUGAUGACGUCUACCCUCUUCUCAGGCGUGCCAGGGAGUUAUGGGCCCCGCGGCCCCAGAAGAGCAGGCGCCCCCCGAGACACAGCCUCGCACCCCUGCCAGGCCCACCCACAGAGGAGGGGGAGGAGGAGGAGGAACUCGGGGCGAGGGAGGGGACGCAGACAGCGGGGCCUGGCCUUCGCAGAAACGCGGCGCUGCAAGCCUGCACCGGAUCAGCACAAACGCACUGUACCGCCCACCCCGCCCCCAGAGACACACACACAGCCUGAAACCAGAUCACAUAAGGUUUAAAAUAAACAUGAGGCCCUGCAAAAGAAAUCUUAAAUUGAACACCAACAGUGAAA